rnacentral:tRNA from 1 species
GCGCCCGUAGCUCAGUGGAUAGAGUGUCAGACUCCGACUCUGAAGGUCGCUGGUUCAAGUCCAGUCGGGCGUACCA